GGAAGAGCUAGCAAAAUCUGAUCUAGAAGUCAGGCGUUCCCGCCCUGGCCUGGAUGGCCCGACGCACUCCUUUCUCUCAUGGAGCCCAGUCAUUUCCUUUUACUGCCUUUGUCACAGUUGUGGGGGCGCCCGUCAAUUCGUUUGCUCCUUGUUUAUCUUUGGUCUCAGCCUCUGGGAUGGCCUCCCCGUGGGAGCGAAGAUGAUGACUUGGACUUUCGUAACUCUAACCUCGGUGCCUAACCCACAGCAGGUGGGCCCUCAGGAAACACUUGAUAAUUAUUUGUCCGCUGACUAUGUGGAUGGAGUACGUGAUGAGGCGAAGAGGCGUCACUGACAGAGGGACAACGGCGAGCUCUCUGACAAACGGUCUCUGGGAGGAGCAGAUGAUUUCACCAGAAGAUGGCCGGGGUCUCCUCCAGGAAGCAGGACUUGGACUUUCAUUUGCCUGUGACAAGUGUGCAGCCAUCCAUGGACCUGAACCCAGAGCCAGGCUGCCUUCCUCGUACUUACCACUCAAACAGCCUCCCUGACACCGUGAGGCUUCUCACGGCCGCAGGCUACCCGGUACCACAAUUCACCAGUGGCAGGUCCUCCAAAACAGAGACCAACACGUCAUAUCCAAUAAUGUGUGAAACUGACAUCUAACUGGAACUUAGAAAAUAAAACAAAAUGUGAAAAUAAA